UACGAAGGGGGCUAGCGUUGCUCGGAAUCACUGGGCGUAAAGGGUGCGUAGGCGGGUCUUUAAGUCAGGGGUGAAAUCCUGGAGCUCAACUCCAGAACUGCCUUGAUACUGAGGAUCUUGAGUUCGGGAGAGGUGAGUGGAACUGCGAGUGUAGAGGUGAAAUUCGUAGAUAUUCGCAAGAACACCAGUGGCGAAGGCGGCUCACUGGCCCGAUACUGACGCUGAGGCACGAAAGCCGUGGGGAGCAAACAGGGAUUAAGAAACCCAUGGUGAGUCCA
rnacentral:rRNA from 1 species